rnacentral:rRNA from 1 species
GAUCAUGGCUCAGGGUGAACGCUGGCGGCGUGCCUAACACAUGCAAGUCGAGCGAAGCGGUUUUGAGGAAGUUUUCGGAUGGAAUUAAAACUGACUGAGCGGCGGACGGGUGAGUAACGCGUGGGUAACCUGCCUCAUACAGGGGGAUAACAGUUAGAAAUGGCUGCUAAUACCGCAUAAGCACACAGCUUCGCAUGGAGCAGUGUGAAAAACUCUGGUGGUAUGAGAUGGACCCGCG